rnacentral:rRNA from 1 species
UAGGGAAUAUUGCAAAAUGGGCGAAAGCCCGAUGCAGCAACGCCGCGUGGGCGAUGAAGGCCUUCGGGUCGUAAAGCCCUUUUUGAGGGGAUGAGGAAGGACAGUACCCUCAGAAUAAGCCUCGGCUAACUACGUGCCAGCAGCCGCGGUAAAACGUAGGAGGCGAGCGUUAUCCGGAUUUACUGGGCGUAGAGCGCGUGCAGGCGGAUUGGAGAGUUGGACGUGAAAGCUCCCGGCUUAACUGGGAGAGGUCGUUCAAUACUUCCAUUCUUGAGUGCAGUAGAGGGAAGUGGAAUUCCGGGUGUAGUGGUGAAAUGCGUAGAUAUCCGGAGGAACACCAGUGGCGAAAGCGGCUUCCUGGACUGUAACUGACGCUCAGACGCGAAAGCUAGGGUAGCAAACG